CCGCCCUACGGGGCGCAGCAGUAGGGAAUCUUCCACAAUGGACGAAAGUCUGAUGGAGCAACGCCGCGUGAGUGAAGAAGGGUUUCGGCUCGUAAAGCUCUGUUGGUAGUGAAGAAAGAUAGAGGGAGUAACUGGCCUUUAUUUGACGGGAAUUACUUAGAAAGACACGGGUAACUAAGUGGCAGCAGCCGCGGUAAUACGGAGGUGGGAAGCGUUAGCCGGAUUUAUUGGGCGUAAA
rnacentral:rRNA from 1 species